rnacentral:rRNA from 1 species
UGGCGGCAUGCCUUACACAUGCAAGUCGAACGGCAGCACGGGGGCAACCCUGGUGGCGAGUGGCGAACGGGUGAGUAAUAUAUCGGAACGUACCCUAGAGUGGGGGAUAACGUAGCGAAAGUUACGCUAAUACCGCAUACGAUCUACGGAUGAAAGUGGGGGAUCGCAAGACCUCAUGCUCAUGGAGCGGCCGAUAUCUGAUUAGCUAGUUGGUAGGGUAAAAGCCUACCAAGGCAUCGAUCAGUAGCUGGUCUGAGAGGACGACCAGCCACACUGGAACUGAGACACGGUCCAGACUCCUACGGGAGGCAGCAGUGGGGAAUUUUGGACAAUGGGCGCAAGCCUGAUCCAGCAAUGCCGCGUGAGUGAAGAAGGCCUUCGGGUUGUAAAGCUCUUUUGUCAGGGAAGAAACGGUUCUGGUUAAUACCUGGGGCUAAUGACGGUACCUGAAGAAUAAGCACCGGCUAACUACGUGCCAGCAGCCGCGGUAAUACGUAGGGUGCAAGCGUUAAUCGGAAUUACUGGGCGUAAAGCGUGCGCAGGCGGUUUUGUAAGUCUGUCGUGAAAUCCCCGGGCUCAACCUGGGAAUUGCGAUGGAGACUGCAAGGCUAGAAUCUGGCUGAGGGGGGUAGAAUU